rnacentral:rRNA from 2 species
ACUGCAAGUCGAGCGAAUCGACGGAGCUUGCUCCCUGAAUUAGCGGCGGACGGGUGAGUAACACGUGGGCAACCUGCCUAUGAGACUGGGAUAGCUUCGGGAAACCGGAGCUAAUACCGGAUACGUUCUUUUCUCGCGUGAGAGAAGAUGGAAAGACGGUUUACGCUGUCACUUAUAGAUGGGCCCGCGGCGCAUUAGCUAGUUGGUGAGGUAAUGGCUCACCAAGGCGACGAUGCGUAGCCGACCUGAGAGGGUGAUCGGCCACACUGGGACUGAGACACGGCCCAGACUCCUACGGGAGGCAGCAGUAGGGAAUCUUCCGCAAUGGACGAAAGUCUGACGGAGCAACGCCGCGUGAACGAAGAAGGCCUUCGGGUCGUAAAGUUCUGUUGUUAGGGAAGAACAAGUACCAGAGUAACUGCUGGUACCUUGACGGUACCUAACCAGAAAGCCACGGCUAACUACGUGCCAGCAGCCGCGGUAAUACGUAGGUGGCAAGCGUUGUCCGGAAUUAUUGGGCGUAAAGCGCGCGCAGGUGGUUCCUUAAGUCUGAUGUGAAAGCCCACGGCUCAACCGUGGAGGGUCAUUGGAAACUGGGGAACUUGAGUGCAGAAGAGGAAAGUGGAAUUCCAAGUGUAGCGGUGAAAUGCGUAGAGAUUUGGAGGAACACCAGUGGCGAAGGCGACUUUCUGGUCUGUAACUGACACUGAGGCGCGAAAACGUGGGGAGCACACAGGAUUAGAUACCCUGGAGUCCACGCCGUAAACCAUGAAUGCUAAGUGUUAGAGG